CCGAUUCGAACGUUAUCACUCGAUUGAAUGGGGCGUUAUCAGCGGUUAUCAGCCCAUAGGUAUGGGCCAGGAGGGGCCUCCUGUGCCUACUAGUAGGCUCAGAAGGCCGUGAUCAUCCAUCCAAAUGGUUGAUCACCCACAAAUAUAGAAGAGAAGACUCCAGAUCCAAUCCCAGAAUUCCUGCUCACCGGUAAUCGGAAGUCUACUGGACGAACGCGGCAACGUUGCGAUAUUUCCUGCUUAAUAUUUUCAGGCACAAUGAAUGAUAUUAAGGGCAGGUAAGAUGCAAAGCAAAAAUACAUUCAAGCGGCAGCAGCACUGAGGGCACAUGGGUGGGCGCAGGACCUAAACCCUGAGAUGGAGGCAAUUUGUGCUGUGUCUGCUGCGUCCAUUUUGAUGAUAAGAAGAAGAAUGCAAGAAAGAAGUGGCGCUCAUGGUCUCAGUGCACAGUGUGCCAAUCAUGGUCACACACAGCAUGUGGCUUUAAAAAGAACAUGUGCCUUC